UCCAGACUCCUACGGGAGGCAGCAGUAGGGAAUCUUUCACAAUGGGCGAAAGCCUGAUGGAGCAACGCCGCGUGCAGGAUGAAGGCCUUCGGGUUGUAAACUGCUUUUAUAAGCGAGAAAUAUGAUGGUAACUUAUGAAUAAGGAUCGGCUAACUACGUGCCAGCAGCCGCGGUAAUACGUAGGGAGCAAGCGUUGUCCGGAAUUACUGGGUGUAAAGGGAGCGUAGGCGGGAUGGCAAGUUGGGUGUUAAAUCUACCGGCUCAACUGGUAGUCGCACUCAAAACUGCUAUUCUUGAGUGAAGUAGAGGCAGGCGGAAUUCCUAGUGUAGCGGUGAAAUGCGUAGAUAUUAGGAGGAACACCAGUGGCGAAGGCGGCCUGCUGGGCUUUUACUGACGCUGAGGCUCGAAAGUGUGGGGAGCAAACAGGAUUAGAUACCCCUGUAAAC
rnacentral:rRNA from 1 species